AUAAGAUAUCAAGGGCAACAGGUGAAUGCCUUGGCGCUGAGAGGCGAUGAAAGACGCGGUAAGCUGCGAUAAGCAUCGGGGAGGAGCUAAACAUCCUACGAUCCGAUGAUUUCUGAAUGGGGAAACCCGAUGGGAGUCAUGUCCCAUCAUCCUGAGCUGAAUAUAUAGGCCCAGAGAAGCCAACCCGGGGAAGUGAAACAUCUCAGUACCCGGAGGAAGAGAAAUCAAACGAGACUCCCAAAGUAGCGGCGAGCGAAAUGGGAAGAGCCCAAACCGAGUGGUUUCGACCAUUCGGGGUUGUAGGGCCGGCAUACGCGAUUCUGGAGUAGGCAGAGGAAGUGAGCUGGAAAGCUCCGCCACAGCGGGUGAUAGCCCCGUACUCGAAACCGAAAAGGACGCAGCCGGUACCUGAGUACUGCGAGGCACGUGGAACCUCGUGGGAAUCUAGGGGGACCAUCCUCUAAGGCUAAGUACUCCUCAGCGACCGAUAGUGAACUAGUACCGUGAGGGAAAGGUGAAAAGAACCCCUGUUAGGGGAGUGAAAUAGAAUCUGAAACCUGUUGCCUACAAGCUGCGAGAGCUACUUCGGUAGUGAUCGCGUGCCUUUUGUAUAAUGAGUCAGCGAGUUACUCUACCGUGCGAGGUUAAGCGAAAGCGUAGCCGUAGUGAAAGCGAGGCUUAAUAGGCCGACUAGUACGUUGGAGUAGACCCGAAACCGGGUGAUCUAUCCAUGAGCAGGUUGAAGCAAGGGUAAAGCCUUGUGGAGGACCGAACCGUCAACGGCUGAAAACGUUCCGGAUGACUUGUGGAUAGGGGUGAAAGGUCAAUCAAACCCGGUGAUAGCUGGUUCUCCCCGAAAUAUAUUGAGGUAUAGCCUCGGGGAUUGUCUGUCGGAGGUAAAGCACUGACAAGGCUAGGGGUCCUACCAGAUUACCAAACCUUUUCAAACUCAGAAUGCCGACAAGAUGUACCCCGGGAGUCAGACGGCGGGUGCUAAGGUCCGUCGUCGAGAGGGUAAGAGCCCAGAUCGACAGCUAAGGUCUCGAAAUCCAUGCUCAGUGGUGAAGGUGGUGGAGUUGUACAGACAGCCAGGACGUUGGCUUAGAAGCAGCCAUCGUUUAAAGAAAGCGUAAUAGCUCACUGGUCUAAUGACUCUGCGCCGAAAAUGUAACGGGGCUAAGCAUGGUACCGAAGCUUCGGAUUCCUCUUUUGAGGAGUGGUAGGGGAGCGUUCUCUAUGGGCAGAAGCUGCAUUGUAAAGUGCGGUGGACGGUAGAGAAGUGAUUAUGCUGACAUGAGUAACGAUAAAACAGGUGAAAAACCUGUUCGCCGAAAACCCAAGGUUUCCUGGGUAAAGUUAAUCUUCCCAGGGUGAGUCGGACCCUAAGGCGAGGGCGAAAGCCGUAGCUGAUGGAAAACGGGUUAAUAUUCCCGUACUUCUUAUGGUGUGCGAUGGAGGGACGCAGAAAGAUAGGUGGGCCAACUGUUGGAUGUUGGUGCAAGCUGGUAGGAAUGCCUCGCCGGCAAAUCCGCGAGGUGAAUCCGAGAAGCGAGUCCGUGGGCGCAAGCCCUGAAGCCAUUGAGUCUCCGCUGCCAAGAAAAGCUCCUAAGUUUAGCCAUGAGGAUCCGUACUGCAAACCAACUCAGGUGGGUGGGAUGAAUAAUCCGAGGCGCUCGAGAGAACUCUGGCCAAGGAACUCGGCAAAAUGACCCCGUAACUUCGGAAGAAGGGGUGCUUUUUCAGGUGACCAUUUUUACAUUGGAAGCCGGAGGAAGCCGCAGUGAAUUGGUGGUGGCGACUGUUUACUAAAAACAUAGGUCUGUGCGAAGUCGCAAGACGACGUAUACGGACUGACGCCUGCCCGGUGCCGGAAGGUUAAGAGGAGAGGUCAGCGCAAGCGAAGCCUUGAAUCGAAGCCCCGGUAAACGGCGGCCGUAACUAUAACGGUCCUAAGGUAGCGAAAUUCCUUGUCGGGUAAGUUCCGACCUG
rnacentral:rRNA from 1 species